ensembl:lncRNA
UACAAAUUGACUAUGUUUGUCUUGCAUAUGACUAUUGGGCCCUUAACUGCCUUUAAUCUGAAGUAUUUUAAGUAUUGAUUUUCUUUCUCGUAUUCUGUUACCAUAUAAACACUGUUCAGUUUUCUACUGACAGUCUGGGAAGAAAACAACCUUAAAACAGGCUUUUAGCUCCACAUUUUGGCCUUCCCCUGCGGAUGGAGCUGCUCAGCUGUCAAAAGAGACGUCUAGUUUGUUAUCACAUGACCCAAGCAUAGAUUUUUAGGUCCUGUGAUAGCAGGCGGUCAUGCAUGUCUCUGUUCAAGGAUGGUCUCAGGUGUCCGAUGUGAAUGGCCUGUUUUAUUUUUGUCCAGCCAUCCAGGAACUCCCACUCGAUGGCUUUGAUCCGUUCCCAGCCGAGAACGAUACAAGAAAGAAAGUAGAGACUCGCAAGUUAAGAGCGGCACUGAGGGACGUUGAACUGAGGUUGAGGAAUGCCGUUUCCAAUAAAUCUCCCACUAAGCUGUUGCAGAGUGUAGCAGAGUCACGAGGGAGAGGAUGCGGUUAUGAAGAAGAGUUGAAGGUCGGUGCAGUAAAUGAGUGGCAGGACCAGGGCCUCAGAAUAAACCAUGUGUGGCCCCUCGGCUGGGCUCCUGUCUUCCAGCUCGUCCUGCAACUCAUCAGAAGCUCCAACUUUGAUGCGGGAUGCUGCGGCUCUUCCUCCGGCUCUGGUGGGGAUGGAGAUGGGACCACAUCCUCCCACACUGGAGAGAGGGUGGAUUCUUUCUGUUUAGACAGAUGCAUGAGGAGUUCCACACUGGAGGCAUCAUAAACCCUAAACGCUCUUCUAGGAUGUAGCUUUGCUGUGA